UCAUUGCUUAUGCAUCCUACAGAGAUAAUCACCAAAGAGUGAAUUUUGGCUGAUAGACACUGAUGCCUGGAAGACCAAUCAAAAUGAAGAGCCAGAGUCAAGAUCCUGAUUCCCUUCCUGCCAUCACGUCCAAAGUAGCCUUUUUCAUGCAUCCAGCCUAGCUUGUUGCAUAGAAGAGAAAAAAUAAGAGCUCACCAGCCCUCUGAGAACUGUAUUUAACUCAGCCUCAACCAUCAUAAAAGAGCUCAGAUGUUGUGGUGGAAAGAGUACCAGAUUCAGAAUCAUCCUUAACAG